UGAAUACGAGAUGCUACGGCAUCGAAGCAGUCUAUGUCAGACUUCCAAGAAAAGCUCGCAAUGUCAUAAACAAAAAUGCCUGUACCAUAACCGACACAGGUGGGUAGGUAGAGUAUACUAAGGGGCGCGAGAUAACUCUCUCUAAGGAACUCGGCAAAAUGACUCCGUAACUUCGGGAGAAGGAGUGCCUUAUUUUAUAAGGUUGCAAUAACAAGAUCCAAGCAACUGUUUACCAAAAACACAGGUCUCCGCUAAGUCGUAAGACGAUGUAUGGGGGCUGACGCCUGCCCAGUGCCAGAAGGUUAAAGAAGUUGGUUAGCCUAGCGAAGCUGAUGACUGAAGCCCUGGUGAACGGCGGCCGUAACAAUAACGGUCCUAAGGUAGCGAAAUUCCUUGUCGGGUAAGUUCCGACCCGCACGAAAGGCGUAAUGAUUUGGAUACUGUCUCGGAGAGGGGCUCGGUGAAAUAGACUUGUCUGUGAAGAUGCGGACUACCUGCACCUGGACAGAAAGACCCUAUGAAGCUUUACUGUAACUUGAGAUUGAAAUUGGACUUUAUUUGCGCAGUAUAGGUGGGAGACGUUGAGAAUAUUCUUGCGGGAGUAUUGGAGUCAUCAGUGAGAUACCACUCUUGUAAUGUUAGAUUUCUAACUUUGGAUCAUUAUCUGGUCAAAGGACAGUUUCAGGCGGGCAGUUUGACUGGGGCGGUCGCCUCCCAAACGGUAACGGAGGCGCACAAAGGUUUCCUCUGAACGUGUAGAAAUCGUAUCUAGAGUGUAAAGGCAUAAGGAAGCUUGACUGUGAGACCUACAAGUCGAGCAGGGACGAAAGUCGGUCUUAGUGAUCUGACGGUGCUGAGUGGAAAGGCCGUCACUCAACGGAUAAAAGUUAUUCUAAGGAUAACAGGCUGAUCUCCCCCAAGAGUUCACAUCGACGGGGAGGUUUGGCACCUCGAUGUCGGCUCAUCGCAUCCUGGGGCGGUAGUACGUCCCAAGGGUUGGGCUGUUCGCCCAUGAAAGCGGUACGCGAGCUGGGUUCAGAACGUCGUGAGACAGUUCGGUCCAUAUCCGGUGUAGGCGUUAGAAUAUUGAGAGGAGCCUUCUUUAGUACGAGAGGACCGAGAAGGACAUACCUCUGGUGUACCAGUUAUCGUGCCAACGGUAAACGCUGGGUAGCUAUGUAUGGAGAGGAUAACCGCUGAAAGCAUCUAAGUGGGAAGCCCACCUCAAGAUAAGUAUUCUCAU
rnacentral:rRNA from 1 species